GACGAACGCUGGCGGCGUGCCUAAUACAUGCAAGUAGAACGCAGUUGCGAACGGGUGAGUAACGCGUAGGUAACUGCCUCAUGGCGGGGGAUAACUAUUGGAAACGAUAGCUAAUACCGCAUACUGAGAGAUGGACCUGCGUUGUAUUAGCUAGUUGGUGAGGUAAAGGCUCACCAAGGCGAAGAUACAUAGCCGACCUGAGAGGGUGAUCGGGCACACCGGGACUGAGACACGGCCCAGUCUCCUACGGGAGGCAGCAGUAGGGAAUCUUCGGCAAUGGAGGGAAGUCGGACCGAGCAAAGCCCGGGGAGUUAAGGAGGUUUUCGGAUCGUAAAGGUCUGUUGUGAGAGAAGCGGUAACUACCCAGAAAGGGACGGCUAACUACGUGCCAGCAGCCGCGGUAAUAC
rnacentral:rRNA from 1 species